AUUGAACGCUGGCGGCAUGCUUUACACAUGCAAGUCGAACGGCAGCGCGGGCUUCGGCCUGGCGGCGAGUGGCGAACGGGUGAGUAUACAUCGGAACAUGCCCAGUAGUGGGGGAUAGCUCGGCGAAAGCCGGAUUAAUACCGCAUACGACCUGAGGGUGAAAGCGGGGGAUCUUCGGACCUCGCGCUAUUGGAGCGGCCGAUGGCAGAUUAGCUAGUUGGUGGGGUAAAGGCCUACCAAGGCGACGAUCUGUAGCUGGUCUGAGAGGACGACCAGCCACACUGGGACUGAGACACGGCCCAGACUCCUACGGGAGGCAGCAGUGGGGAAUUUUGGACAAUGGGCGAAAGCCUGAUCCAGCAAUGCCGCGUGUGUGAUGAAGGCCUUCGGGUUGUAAAGCACUUUUGGCGGGAACGAAAAGGACUGUGCAAAUACCACGGUUCGAUGACGGUACCCGCAGAAUAAGCACCGGCUAACUACGUG
rnacentral:rRNA from 1 species